rnacentral:rRNA from 1 species
AAAUUGAAGAGUUUGAUCAUGGCUCAGAUUGAACGCUGGCGGCAGGCCUAACACAUGCAAGUCGAACGGUAACAGGAAGAAGCUUGCUUCUUUGCUGACGAGUGGCGGACGGGUGAGUAAUGUCUGGGAAACUGCCUGAUGGAGGGGGAUAACUACUGGAAACGGUAGCUAAUACCGCAUAACGUCGCAAGACCAAAGAGGGGGACCUUCGGGCCUCUUGCCAUCGGAUG